UACGGAGGGUGCGAGCGUUGUCCGGAAUCACUGGGCGUAAAGGGCGCGUAGGCGGUCCGGUAAGCGUGUGGUGAAAGCCCGGGGCUCAACCCCGGGUCUGCCGUGCGAACUGUCGGACUUGAGCACUGUAGAGGCAGGUGGAAUUCCGAGUGUAGCGGUGGAAUGCGUAGAGAUUCGGAGGAACACCGGUGGCGAAGGCGGCCUGCUGGGCAGUGUCUGACGCUGAGGCGCGACAGCGUGGGGAGCAAACAGG
rnacentral:rRNA from 2 species